GAUGAACGCUGGCGGCGUGCCUAAUACAUGCCAGUCGAGCGAACGGACGAGAAGCUUGCUUCUCUGAUGUUAGCGGCGGACGGGUGAGUAACACGUGUAUAACCUACCUAUAAGACUGGGAUAACUUCGGGAAACCGUAGCUAAUACCGUAUAAUAUUUUGAACCGCAUGGUUCAAAAGUGAAAGACGGUCUUUCUGUCACUUAUAGAUGGAUCCGCGCUGUAUUAGCUAGUUGGUAAGGUAACGGCUUACCAAGGCAACGAUGCAUAGACGACCUGAGAGAGUGGUCGGCCACAUGGGAAGUGAGCCAGGGACCAGACUCCUACGGGAGGGAGCAGUCGCGAACCUUCCGCAGUGGUCGGAAACCUGACGGAACAAGGCCGCGCGAGUGGUGGAGGCCUCGGGUUCGUAAAACUCUGUUAUGAGGUAAGAACAUAUGUGUAAGUAACUGUGCACAGCUUGACGGUACCUAGUCAGAAAGCCACGGCUAACUACGUG
rnacentral:rRNA from 1 species